GGAAUCUUGCACAAUGGAGGAAACUCUGAUGCAGCGAUGCCGCGUGAGUGAAGAAGGCCUUUGGGUUGUAAAGCUCUUUUGUAGGGGAAGAUAAUGACUGUACCCUAAGAAUAAGGUCCGGCUAACUUCGUGCCAGCAGCCGCGGUAAUACGAAGGGACCUAGCGUAGUUCGGAAUUACUGGGCGUAAAGCGCGCGUAGGCCGUUGAGUUAGUUAAUUGUGAAACCCCAAAGCUUAACUUUGGAACUGCAAUUAAAACUGCUCGACUAGAGUUUGAUAGAGGAAAGCGGAAUACAUAGUGUAGAGGUGAAAUUCGUAGAUAUUAUGUAGAACACCAGUUGCGAAGGCGGCUUUCUGGAUCAAUACUGACGCUGAGGCGCGAAAGUAUGGGUAGCAAAGAGGAUUAGAUACCCUCGUAGUCCAUACCAUAAACGAUGAUUGCUAGAUGUUGGAAAUUUAUUUUCAGUAUCGCAGCUAACGCAUUAAGCAAUCCGCCUGGGGAGUACGACCGCAAGGUUAAAACUCAAAUGAAUUGACGG
rnacentral:rRNA from 1 species